rnacentral:rRNA from 1 species
UUAAAUUGAAGAGUUUGAUCAUGGCUCAGAUUGAACGCUGGCGGCAGGCCUAACACAUGCAAGUCGAACGGUAACAGGAAGCAGCUUGCUGCUUUGCUGACGAGUGGCGGACGGGUGAGUAAUGUCUGGGAAACUGCCUGAUGGAGGGGGAUAACUACUGGAAACGGUGGCUAAUACCGCAUAACGUCGCAAGACCAAAGAGGGGGACCUUCGGGCCUCUUGCCAUCAGAUGUGCCCAGAUGGGAUUAGCUUGUUGGUGAGGUAAUGGCUCACCAAGGCGACGAUCC